AAGACUAUGCAUUCUGGGAUCAUUUCAAUAGCUCGUUCCUAGAGAAGUUUCUCCGACCGUGCGGAGCACCGGAAGCCACCAGGAGGAGGCCAAGCGUUCCCUCCUAGCGUCUGUGUUGCUUCCCCACAAGUGCCAUUUGCCACUGACGACCGUUCUUCUGUUCCUCUGGGAGCGUAAGAGGGAGAGGAUGCAGUCUGAGAGGU
ensembl:snoRNA U3 Small nucleolar RNA U3